rnacentral:lncRNA from 1 species
UAUGGUCCCCCUGGAGCUGUGUAGUGCUGUGAUCUAGCACACCUUGCUCCUUAUUGUCACCGUUUAAUCAUCUUCCAUCCUGGACUGUAAGAUCCACAUCUGCUUCUCUGCCCUAAGCCUAACACAGAGUCAAAACUCCAUUAAUAUUUGUUGAAUUAAUAAAUGAAACUUUAAGAGAGAAAUGGUUAAUAUAGAAGAAACAUGGGGAAAAAAUCUGGAAACUACACCUUUUUUUUUUUUUCUUUUUGGAAUGGCUUAACUGAAAAUAGUUUGGACAAAGGAAGAUGUAGAAGAGAUGUAACAGCUGAUUUCACUAAGUGAAGGACUAUUAUGGGAAGACAGAGAAUACAUUUUUUUAAAAUUUUAUCCCAGGAAGAUAAGCAGACAUACUGAAGGCAAGUUAUUUGGACCCAAUAGUAAAAUUAAAAAGAAUUUUCCAAUCAUGGGAGCUGACUGGAAAUGAAACAGGUGGCCCAAAAAGUAAUGAAUUCUUUCAUUUUCCAUGCUGAAGUAUGAGCUAGAUGUCCAUCUGUAGGAUCACUGUGGGCAGCAGUUAGACAAGAGAACCGUUGAGGGUCUCCUUCAAAGUGUCUGUGAUUUUAUUACCAUAGAGAAAUUGAACUUCAGCAUUUAUUCAAUGACUCUGUGUUUGUGGCACUAUUGGGGACAUGGGGGCUGGACAGUCAGGAUUGGCAGACAAUGUCAAGGAAAUAAUCAGAAGGUAGAAUCUUGCAGAAUAUCACUGGGCAUCUAAAUA